GGAGGAAACGAAAUGAAGUUCAAUGGAAUCAAAGUAGCCUGAGUGGUGUGAAGUGAGCUGAUGUCAGCAGUGGUUCCCCAUGCAGCUUGCGACCGUCUCCCAUAGCACAUCUCCUUGGACUGGCGGGACAGGCACAAGAAGGAGCAAUGGGGUUAAGUGGACAAGAAGGAAUGGUGGUUAAGCGCCUAAGGUAACAGAUUGGAGCCAUCUUGAAUCACAGAUGACCAGCGGUGAAGACCACCUGGUACAAUGAUGGUCCCUCUUGUUAAGGAAGAAGCAGUGAAAAACUGUGAAAGAGCAUAUGAAUCUAGUCUACUCAAGUUUGGAGGAGGGGAUGAAGAUUCUUUCCAGAAGCUCCAACCUUGACGAGAGAGUAGGAAAUACGUCUCCGCUUUGACAGGAACAAUGUGUGACAUGAAAGACCUCAGAUGCUGUGCAGGUUUGUGACGGUUCUUCAGAAAAAGCAUCCCCUGGCUGUUCUGCUCAAUGCCA